rnacentral:rRNA from 1 species
GAUGAACGCUGGCGGCGUGCCUAAUACAUGCAAGUCGAACGGUCCGCAAGGAUAGUGGCGAACGGGUGAGUAACGCGUUGGUGACCUGCCCUGAAGUGGGGGAUAACGGAUCGAAAGAUCCGCUAAUACCGCAUAAGCUCUUAUUAGUUAGAGAGGUAAGAGGAAAACCGAAAGGUGCUUUAGGAGGGGCCUGCGUCCCAUCAGCUAGUUGGUAAGGUAACGGCUUACCAAGGCGAUGACGGGUAGGGGACCUGAGAGGGUGACCCCCCACAAUGGAACUGAAACACGGUCCAUACACCUACGGGUGGCUG